CGGAAGAAGAAGAGAUGGCAGUUAAAAAAUAACGAGACAAUGAAAAGUGAAACGGGCGGUGGAUUCACCUGAUAUUGAGUCUCAGAUUAAAGAUGCUAUGCGCUCCCGCGUUAAUUACUUUAAUGAACAAUCCAAUUCUUUGAUCUCGUAAAGAAUUAUUAGAGAAGGAUUUGGAUAGAAGUUCAUAAAAGAUUUGUUAAGCAAUGUCUGCUUCAGAUGGCGACAAUGCUUCCAAGGAUUCAGGGGAAACUGAUGAAAAAAGGUUCCCGUUCAAUUAAAGGAGAAGCAACUGAAUCGCCUGAAGGACAUGAAUCAAAAAAUCAUAUAAAAGAACUUUGUUCUGAGGAUAAGGCGAAAAUGGAAGAAUCUCCUGUCAUGGGACUCUUGACAGCGAAAAGACACCUAAGUCAAGUUUGCUAAUGAGUCUGCACCCUAUAUACUCUUUUUUAAAUUAAAUGUGAAUUUAAAACCGUGCGAACUGUGUUCUAAGGAAGCAUGUCUUUAAUGCUUUCCCCUAAAACGCUUUUAUCCGAAGCAAACACAAAUCAUUACAAUCCCAAACAGACUUGAACCCAAUGAAUAUCAGCAGAAGAUGGGGAACCUUUGUCUAAAGUGGCUAUCAGAAUUCAAUCUGUUAUGAUAUUCUCUCCUGUAUGCAGAAAAUGGAGAGGACAGCGACUGAAUCCUGGAUAAGCUGACAUGCUAGUUGAUUGAUAAGAGACACCUUAACAAUCACAGGAUAAUGAUGUAUCAUUAGUUCUAACUAAUGAUCAUUCCUUCUGUUUUUGUUUUCCUGUGUUGUCUUGCUGAGUAGAAGACCAUAUGGCUAGAAUUCGUUGGCAGCUUCUAUUACAAUAUCUUCUGGAGCUGAUUUGGUGAGUUGUAGCAGGGUAAGUACCCCAAAAAACUCAAGCGCUCUUGCAAGUUGAGAAGAUCGUGUCUCAUUUUGCAUUUACUCGACCAAACACUUCAAAAGGUCUUUUUAUUAGAUUCCAGAGCCACAGUUGUGAAUGUUUCUGCAGAUGGGUGUUUAUAUAAAUGCGAAUUACAUUUCAAAGAUACAAAAAACAUUAAGCCCCAUAGCAGUAAUUAAGUGGCAUCUUCUGAUGCAAAUCCUAGCGUACUAAAAAGCUAUCUAAUGUCAGCCUGGGUGACUCUUGAUCUUUGUUUCAAAUCAAGAUAAAAUGGAUUUUAGAUGACUGCUGUUCCAGCAAUGUAUCUUGAACUGCAAACAAUUUCCAUGAUUGCGC